rnacentral:miRNA from 1 species
AAGUUGGGGCCCCUUUGGUCUCCUGGCUGGCUCACCAAUUGUCACAGCCCGAGGGGGCUUUACCA